rnacentral:rRNA from 1 species
UUAAGCGACUAAGCGUACACGGUGGAUGCCCUGGCAGUCAGAGGCGAUGAAGGACGUGCUAAUCUGCGAUAAGCGUCGGUAAGGUGAUAUGAACCGUUAUAACCGGCGAUUUCCGAAUGGGGAAACCCAGUGUGAUUCGUCACACUAUCAUUAACUGAAUCCAUAGGUUAAUGAGGCGAACCGGGGGAACUGAAACAUCUAAGUACCCCGAGGAAAAGAAAUCAACCGAGAUUCCCCCAGUAGCGGCGAGCGAACGGGGAGCAGCCCAGAGUCUGAAUCAGUGUGUGUGUUAGUGGAAGCGUCUGGAAAGGCGCGCGAUACAGGGUGACAGCCCCGUACACAAAAAUGCACAUACUGUGAGCUCGAUGAGUAGGGCGGGACACGUGGUAUCCUGUCUGAAUAUGGGGGGACCAUCCUCCAAGGCUAAAUACUCCUGACUGACCGAUAGUGAACCAGUACCGUGAGGGAAAGGCGAAAAGAACCCCGGCGAGGGGAGUGAAAAAGAACCUGAAACCGUGUACGUACAAGCAGUGGGAGCCUCUUUUAUGGGGUGACUGCGUACCUUUUGUAUAAUGGGUCAGCGACUUAUAUUCUGUAGCAAGGUUAACCGAAUAGGGGAGCCGAAGGGAAACCGAGUCUUAACUGGGCGUUAAGUUGCAGGGUAUAGACCCGAAACCCGGUGAUCUAGCCAUGGGCAGGUUGAAGGUUGGGUAACACUAACUGGAGGACCGAACCGACUAAUGUUGAAAAAUUAGCGGAUGACUUGUGGCUGGGGGUGAAAGGCCAAUCAAACCGGGAGAUAGCUGGUUCUCCCCGAAAGCUAUUUAGGUAGCGCCUCGUGAAUUCAUCUCCGGGGGUAGAGCACUGUUUCGGCAAGGGGGUCAUCCCGACUUACCAACCCGAUGCAAACUGCGAAUACCGGAGAAUGUUAUCACGGGAGACACACGGCGGGUGCUAACGUCCGUCGUGAAGAGGGAAACAACCCAGACCGCCAGCUAAGGUCCCAAAGUCAUGGUUAAGUGGGAAACGAUGUGGGAAGGCCCAGACAGCCAGGAUGUUGGCUUAGAAGCAGCCAUCAUUUAAAGAAAGCGUAAUAGCUCACUGGUCGAGUCGGCCUGCGCGGAAGAUGUAACGGGGCUAAACCAUGCACCGAAGCUGCGGCAGCGACGCUUAUGCGUUGUUGGGUAGGGGAGCGUUCUGUAAGCCUGUGAAGGUGUGCUGUGAGGCAUGCUGGAGGUAUCAGAAGUGCGAAUGCUGACAUAAGUAACGAUAAAGCGGGUGAAAAGCCCGCUCGCCGGAAGACCAAGGGUUCCUGUCCAACGUUAAUCGGGGCAGGGUGAGUCGACCCCUAAGGCGAGGCCGAAAGGCGUAGUCGAUGGGAAACAGGUUAAUAUUCCUGUACUUGGUGUUACUGCGAAGGGGGGACGGAGAAGGCUAUGUUGGCCGGGCGACGGUUGUCCCGGUUUAAGCGUGUAGGCUGGUUUUCCAGGCAAAUCCGGAAAAUCAAGGCUGAGGCGUGAUGACGAGGCACUACGGUGCUGAAGCAACAAAUGCCCUGCUUCCAGGAAAAGCCUCUAAGCAUCAGGUAACAUCAAAUCGUACCCCAAACCGACACAGGUGGUCAGGUAGAGAAUACCAAGGCGCUUGAGAGAACUCGGGUGAAGGAACUAGGCAAAAUGGUGCCGUAACUUCGGGAGAAGGCACGCUGAUAUGUAGGUGAAGUCCCUCGCGGAUGGAGCUGAAAUCAGUCGAAGAUACCAGCUGGCUGCAACUGUUUAUUAAAAACACAGCACUGUGCAAACACGAAAGUGGACGUAUACGGUGUGACGCCUGCCCGGUGCCGGAAGGUUAAUUGAUGGGGUCAGCGCAAGCGAAGCUCUUGAUCGAAGCCCCGGUAAACGGCGGCCGUAACUAUAACGGUCCUAAGGUAGCGAAAUUCCUUGUCGGGUAAGUUCCGACCUGCACGAAUGGCGUAAUGAUGGCCAGGCUGUCUCCACCCGAGACUCAGUGAAAUUGAACUCGCUGUGAAGAUGCAGUGUACCCGCGGCAAGACGGAAAGACCCCGUGAACCUUUACUAUAGCUUGACACUGAACAUUGAGCCUUGAUGUGUAGGAUAGGUGGGAGGCUUUGAAGUGUGGACGCCAGUCUGCAUGGAGCCGACCUUGAAAUACCACCCUUUAAUGUUUGAUGUUCUAACGUUGACCCGUAAUCCGGGUUGCGGACAGUGUCUGGUGGGUAGUUUGACUGGGGCGGUCUCCUCCUAAAGAGUAACGGAGGAGCACGAAGGUUGGCUAAUCCUGGUCGGACAUCAGGAGGUUAGUGCAAUGGCAUAAGCCAGCUUGACUGCGAGCGUGACGGCGCGAGCAGGUGCGAAAGCAGGUCAUAGUGAUCCGGUGGUUCUGAAUGGAAGGGCCAUCGCUCAACGGAUAAAAGGUACUCCGGGGAUAACAGGCUGAUACCGCCCAAGAGUUCAUAUCGACGGCGGUGUUUGGCACCUCGAUGUCGGCUCAUCACAUCCUGGGGCUGAAGUAGGUCCCAAGGGUAUGGCUGUUCGCCAUUUAAAGUGGUACGCGAGCUGGGUUUAGAACGUCGUGAGACAGUUCGGUCCCUAUCUGCCGUGGGCGCUGGAGAACUGAGGGGGGCUGCUCCUAGUACGAGAGGACCGGAGUGGACGCAUCACUGGUGUUCGGGUUGUCAUGCCAAUGGCACUGCCCGGUAGCUAAAUGCGGAAGAGAUAAGUGCUGAAAGCAUCUAAGCACGAAACUUGCCCCGAGAUGAGUUCUCCCUGACCCUUUAAGGGUCCUGAAGGAACGUUGAAGACGACGACGUUGAUAGGCCGGGUGUGUAAGCGCAGCGAUGCGUUGAGCUAACCGGUACUAAUGAACCGUGAGGCUUAACCUU